rnacentral:rRNA from 1 species
GAUGAACGCUAGCGGCAGGCCUAAUACAUGCAAGUCGAACGGUGACAUUCUCGCUUGCGAGAGAUGACGAGUGGCGCACGGGUGCGUAACGCGUAUGCAACCUACCCUUAACUGGAGGAUAGCCCGGAGAAAUUCGGAUUAAUACUCCAUAGUAUCACCAGAUGGCAUCUGAAGGUGAUUAAAGAUUUAUUGGUUAAGGAUGGGCAUGCGUGACAUUAGUUAGUUGGUGAGGUAACGGCUCACCAAGACAACGAUGUCUAGGGGUUCUGAGAGGAUGAUCCCCCACACUGGUACUGAGAUACGGACCAGACUCCUNACGGGAGGCAGCAGUAGGGAAUAUUGGUCAAUGGGCGAGAGCCUGAACCAGCCAUGCCGCGUGCAGGAAGACGGCCUUCUGGGUUGUAAACUGCUUUUAUACAGGAACAAAUAGUCCAUGCGUGGAAAGUUGAGUGUACUGUAUGAAUAAGCACCGCUAACU